CCCUCUCUCCGGGUUGGGGUUUUGCUGCUUUCCAGCAACAGAGGCUGGGGCAUGGGAAUAGUCGACGUCGACUGGUCCGGGCCUACGUGUCAGUCUAACUCGAAUCGAUGGAACAGGUUUUUAAAAGAGUUUCCCACUCAAGUGAAAAAAAUGUUUAUAAAAAUAUUCUUUUGCAUUUUCUGCAAAAUUUUAACCUUGUUUAGAGUAAAAAUUAUCUUAAUUGUUUAAAGACACACGCUAGCAGUAACACCUUAAUAAGAUUCAUGGGCAAUCGAUGCCAAGUGGCGAGUAGGCAUGACGAACUACGGCGAUGCAUACGACUUGUGUUGAUUCCUAUCCUUCUUAUAUUGGCUCGCCUGGUAGUAUGCGGUAGAAAUAGUUUACAUUAUUUGUGUUAAUCCAAAUUUUCUUAGUGUCAUUGACAGUAUAGGUGUCGCCCAUAUAUAGACAUGUUUGAUGAGUCAAAUCUUCUUAGUGUUUCUUGACAGUAUAGGUGUCGCCCAUAUAUAGACAUGUUUGAUUAGCUUAAGAUUUAAAAAACAAUCAGUAAAAAGUCAGCCUUUAGUUUUACAGUUUUUGGCUUUUAUUUCAUUUACCGAAUUCUACUAUUUUAAAAUCUUAGAAAUUGGGUGAUAUUUUGUGAGUGCUUUUGACUUUUCUAUAGAUUAUGUCAGAAGUCGCACCUGCCAUAAGCUUCCAAAAUAGGCCCCGUGAGAGUUUUGUUAUGUGCUGCAUUAGUUCAACAAGACUACGACAGUAGACAUCAACACGCCUGAGUGGCGAGCAAUACGAAGGGCAGAGCGGGUGUCUCCUCGUCGUCCUCGAAUCCUCACCCAUGCAAUAGAAACCCUCUCUAACAAUACAUACUUACCAACGUUAUUGACCAACUGUUAUAAAAAACAAAUUUAGUAACACUUAUUAGUAGAUGAGGUGAGUUUGCAAUGGAUAAUUCGUGUUGCAGCACAUACAUUGCAACAUCUUACACAAUUAGCAAUAAAUAAUAGUAUAUAUUGCUAGUUAUGUGUUGCAA
rnacentral:lncRNA from 1 species